rnacentral:rRNA from 1 species
AGAAUCAACGCUGGCGGCGUGCCUAACACAUGCAAGUCGAACGAGAAAGUGGAGCAAUCCAUGAGUAAAGUGGCGACCGGGUGAGUAACACGUGACUAACCUACCUUCGAGUGGGGGAUAACCUCGGGAAACCGAGGCUAAUACCGCAUAACAUCGCAAGAUCAAAGCAGCAAUUCGCUCGAGGAGGGGGUCGCGGCCGAUUAGUUAGUUGGCAGGGUAAUGGCCUACCAAGACGAUGAUCGGUA